CGGCGAUGGCGGCAGUGCUGGAGCUCGGGGGCGGUGGGGCCGCGGCGGGGCCCGGGCCGGGCCCGGGGCCGUCGUUGGGCCGGGGGGGCCUGGAGGUGCUGCAGCACACGGUGGGGUCGCUGCUGUCCAGCUAUGGCUGGUACAUCCUCCUGGCCGCCGUCGCCGUCUAUCUGCUCGUGCAGAAGGUGUCCCGGAGCCUGGCGGCGCGGUCGAGCGGCCCCGGAGCGGCUGAGGCGGCGGAGGAGCCUGAUGUGGUGGUAAGAAGGCAGGAAGCUUUGGCAGCAGCUCGCCUCAGGAUGCAGGAGGAGUUGAAUGCACAAGCAGAAAGAUACAAAGAAAAACAAAAACAGCUUGAAGAAGAGAAGCGGAGGCAGAAGAUAGCGAUGUGGGAAAGCAUGCAAGAGGGGAAGAGCUACAAAGGAAACCUGAAACUGAAUCAGCAAGAAGCAGAGUCUGGUGCCUCGACCUCAGCAGUCCCGAAAUCUAAACCAAACAAAAAGCCUUUGCGAGGAGGUGGUGAAAGAACCAUCUGCACUGUUCAGCUGCUGAAUUAAGCUAGAAAGUGAAACUUGGCUACUCUGAGAAAAACAAAUUUCGAAGAUGAAGGUGAUGCUGGGCGUUUCAGUGGAACAUGGAAACCUGCCUGGUUAACAGUGCUACUACAAUGCUAUAACCCACUGUCUGGAGAAGGAGGUGGAACGUGUUCCUGGAGACCAGGCCGGAGAGGCCCGUCAGCAGGUGGAUGAGGUUAACCUCCCUAGUGCCCCAUGGCACUAGCAGGCUUGAUCUUACCCACUGUCUAACUGCCUACAGCUUGCCUGUCACAGGGACUCCUUUGGGGCUGGUUUAGUGCUGGUGGUCACUUAAAACAGAUUCACACCGUUUCCAAACUGCAUUGGAUGGUCCUACACAAGGAAAAUACCUGGUCCUCUUACAGAGGACAGAGAAACAAUUCCAGCAUAAUCAGUUAAUUUUCACUCUUCUGUAGAGAGGGAGCUUAGUCUCCAGCCAAGGUGAAUCACCUGGAAUUUGUAGAUCUGGGCUCUCUGGCUCUUCAAAACACUGGCCUCAGGCAAAUUUAAUUAUCUACACUUUGUUUGCCUCUGUAAAAUGAGGAUAUUAACAUGUGUUACCAGAUCUACUGUGUUUGUCUGGAAGGUAAUUUAGAGAGGAAGGAUAUUAUCAUUGGCAGACACUUUGAAUUUAGGCAGAGGGACUUUCAGGAAAAACACAGGUGAUCUGACAAGCGCCACGGAUUUGCACUGAAGGCCAGUUAUUGCAGAAGAGUCUCUGUGACAAGUCAGCUUGAAUGAUGUUUUCCUCAUAAAUGGUAAACAAACCAGUGAGGAUAACUGAUGCUAGACAUGCUAGACAGCAGAUGGGGGGGGUUCUUGCUAUUCCUUUUCUUUUUUCUUUUUUUUUAUUUCAACUGCUUUGUAAAAACAAGACACUAUUAAUAUUAAAUAUAAUUGCAAACAAAUGAUAAAUCUAGUGCUUACAA